GCCUUUGUGGCUCAGUCGGUAGAGCGACACCUUGGUAAGGUGUAGGUCGGGGGUUCGAUUCCCCCCAAAGGCU
rnacentral:tRNA from 1 species